GAUUAACGCUGGCGGCGUGCAUAACACAUGCAAGUCGAACGAUGAAACUCAUUAGAUUUCUUCGGAAUGAAAAUGAAUGGCUUAGUGGCGAACGGGUGAGUAACGCGUGAGUAACCUGCCUUACACAAGGGGAUAGCCUCUGGAAACGGAGAAUAAUACCCUAUGAAACCAGACAAUCGCAUGAUAAUCUGGUCAAAAUGUUUAGUGGUGUAAGAUGGACUUGCGUCUGAUUAGCUAGUUGGUGAGAUAAAAGCUCACCAAGGCAACGAUCAGUAGCCGGCUUGAGAGAGUGUACGGCCACAUUGGGAAUGAGACACGGCCCAGACUCCUACGGGAGGCAGCAGUGGGGAAUUUUGCACAAUGGGGGAAACCCUGAUGCAGCGACGCCGCGUGAUUUAGAAGGCCUUCGGGUUGUAAAAAUCUUUUGUAUAGGAAGAAAAUGACAGUACUAUACGAAUAAGGUCCGGCUAAUUACGU
rnacentral:rRNA from 1 species